CUUCAAAGCAUGACUCAGAUGCACCAUUUUUAUGAGAAUCCUUAACUGAUCCAUGCUGGUGGUAUUUCUGUUAUAAAAUUUCAUGGUUUUUACUUCAUAUUUACUCAUUUCUAUAUUCAUUAUUCUGUAGGUAUGAUAGUCCUUAAAAGAGUAUCAGUAACUUGAAGGUAAGGAUUGUAUAUAUAUUUUUCUCUUCCCAGGGUUAACCACAAUUGCUAAAAGAUAGUAGUAGUAGCUAAAUCAAUGUCUGUUGGAUUAAGAAAUUUGUCAGAAAGGAUAAUUGGCAGUGGAUGACAGUGAAUGAUAACACUAAGAACAAGCACAUUUCAAAUGAGAAUUAGAAAACUUGCUGAUCAGAACAAUUUGUUAUAAUGGUCCUGAAGUUGUCUGAAGAGGAUGAUUUGCUUAGGUCUUGGUCAGACAUCAAAUAUACAAAGGUCAUCGACUGUAGCUCAGAUUAUCACCAUAUGGCUUGGCUUUUGUUUUGCCACUGGACUUUGAUGCCUCUGGAAGAGAGUGAAACUCUCUCAUCAGUCAACUUUAUGAAACUCUACCUCACUUCAAUCCAAUUCACAGGAGCCCUGGGAGCGAGGUUCCAUUAUUCCCAUUUCACAGAUGAAGAUUUUGAGACAAAAUGACUUACCAACGCUGAUGCAGCUAUACUGACAGGUGAAAUAUGGCAUCUUUAAUUUGGGGAGUAAGAGUGAUCCAACUGUCCCAAAUAUGACAAUG
rnacentral:lncRNA from 1 species